AUCAACUUUCGAUGGUAGUAUAGAGGCCUACCAUGGUGGUGAUGGGUAACGGGGAAUUAGGGUUCGAUUCCGGAGAGGGAGCCUGAGAAACGGCUACCACAUCCAAGGAAGGCAGCAGGCGCGCAAAUUACCCAAUCCCGAUACGGGGAGGUAGUGACAAUAAAUACUGAUACAGGGCUCUUUAGGGUCUUGUAAUUGGAAUGAGUACAAUUUAAAUCUCUUAACGAGGAACAAUUGGAGGGCAAGUCUGGUGCCAGCAGCCGCGGUAAUUCCAGCUCCAAUAGCGUAUAUUAAAGUUGUUGCAGUUAAAAAGCUCGUAGUUGAAUUUUGGGUUUGGCCGAUUGGUCCGUUCUUGUAACGAGUACUGGUCGGUUGGGCCUCACCGCUUGGUGAUGCGUAAUGCCCUUUAUUGGGUGUUGCGAGUAGCCAGGACAUUUACCUUGAAAAAAUUAGAGUGUUUAAAGCAGGCAUAUGCCGGAAUACAUUAGCAUGGAAUAAUAGAAUAGGACGAUGAUUCUAUUUUGUUGGUUUCUAGGAGCAUCGUAAUGAUUAAUAGGGAUAGUUGGGGCAUUAGUAUUCAAUUGUCAGAGGUGAAAUUCUUGGAUUUAUUGAAGACUAACUACUGCGAAAGCAUUUGCCAAGGAUGUUUUCAUUAAUCAAGAACGAAAGUUAGGGGAUCGAAGACGAUCAAAUACCGUCGUAGUCUUAACCAUAAACUAUGCCGACUAGGGAUCGGAUGAUGUUAAUUUUUAAUGACUCAUACG
rnacentral:rRNA from 1 species